rnacentral:rRNA from 1 species
GCGCGAAAACUUUACAAUGCUGGCAACAGCGAUAAGGGAACCUCGAGUGCCAGGUUACAAAUCUGGCUGUCGAGAUGCCUAAAAAAGCAUUUCAUAGCAAGGGCCGGGCAAGACCGGUGCCAGCCGCCGCGGUAACACCGGCGGCUCGAGUGGUAACCGUUAUUAUUGGGUCUAAAGGGUCUGUAGCCGGCCGGAUAAGUCUCUUGAGAAAUCUGGCAGCUUAACUGUCAGGCUUUCAGGAGAUACUGUCUGGCUCGAGGCCGGGAGAGGUGAGAGGUACUUCAGGGGUAGGGUGAAAUCUUGUAAUCCUUGAAGGACCACCAGUGGCGAAGGCGUCUCACCAGAACGGACCUGACGGCAAGGGCGAAAGCUAGGGGCACGAACCGGAUUAGAAACCCCUGU